GCCCUGGUAGCUCAAUUGGUUAGAGCGUCGGACUUUUAUCGGUCUGCACUGGAAAGCAUAUCCGAAGGCUGCGGGUUCGACCCCCGCCUGGGGCG